GAUGAACGCUGGCGGUAUGCCUUAUACAUGCAAGUCGUACGGGAGUUUUUAACUCAAGUGGCGGACGGGUGAGUAACACGUAAGAAUUUGCCUUUAGGAGGGGGAUAACAACUGGAAACGGUUGCUAAUACCCCAUAUGCUUUCGAGUGAAAUGGAUUUCCGCCUAAAGAGAAGCUUGCGGCUGAUUAGCUUGUUGGUGAGGUAAUGGCUCACCAAGGCGACGAUCAGUAUCUGGUUUGAGAGGACGAUCAGACACACUGGAACUGAGACACGGUCCAGACUCCUACGGGAGGCAGCAGUAGGGAAUUUUCCGCAAUGGGCGAAAGCCUGACGGAGCAAUACCGCGUGAGGAUGACUGCCUAUGGNUGUAACCUCUUUUUCAGGAGGAAUCAAUGACGUUACCUGAAGAUAGCAUCGCUA
rnacentral:rRNA from 1 species